CAGGCUAUAGCGCAGUUGGUAGCGCGCAUGCAUGGGGUGCAUGAGGCCGCGAGUUCAAGUCUCGCUAGCCUGA
rnacentral:tRNA from 1 species